ACAACUUUGACCCCAACAGGCAGUAUGCAUCAAUUCCAAUGCCCCACUCUGCCCAUCUUCCUCACGCGCGCACAACGAAAGCAAAUUCCACCCACUUGCAGUAACGACGAGGUCACGAGAGGCAGCGAAAGAUCGAUCACUCUGCCCCUCUGUCGUCUUCUUAAACAAUAGUGUCGUCUACAGCAGCAAGAGCAGUAACAUCACGCGAAAUCGUCCUUGGGGCAACGGGAUCGAUCCACGUCACCCCAAGGAAGAUUGGAUCAAUCGAACCCGUCUAUCCCAUUUCCCAUUUCGGUUUGAGUUUUUGUUUUCGGAGAAAAGCUUGUGCGUCCAAAAAAGGAAAAAAAAGUUUUGAAUUUCAAAUUCGUAAUGGGAUUUUGAUCCGAUUUUUCAUCUUCCCCCCCCCAAAAAGAAUCUUGAAACCCUAAUCUACCUCAUAUAUAUACUUCAUUUCAUUCAUCUUGCAGGGGGGUCCCUUUUUCGGAGGUCUUGUUUUUUUUUCUCUCUUCGGUUUUUGGAAAUAAAAAGAAUAGGAAGUGCUUUUUUUUGUUUUCUUUUGAUUUCCUGAAAUGUUUUUUUAAGCCCAAGAUAUUGGAGGAACAAUAAAAAAAAAUUGGAAAGUUUCUUUGGGAUCAAAAUACACAGAGAAAUUUAAAAGUUUGGCCAAAAGAACUCCAAAAAAAAUUGUGUGAGACUCGUAGGUGUUCUUCACUUAGUAACAUCGUUCGAGCAGAUUCUUUUUCUCUCUUUUGCGUAACAAAUACAUCUCGGAAGAAAAGGUUCAUAGUUUGGUUUUCGGGUCAAGCUGCUGUCCAGAUUCCUACUCUCCACUCGUAUUCUAGUUUCGUGGUUGUGGAGUCACUUCCGACACGCUCUUUCUCGAGUUCUGCUUCCCAGAAAUAGGUUUAUAUCUUUGCUAUGAAAUCAGCAAAUUCUUCCGACGGAUGGAUAUGGAGAAGUCAUAGGAGGAGAAGAUUAUCCCAAAAUAAAUAGUUUUCCUAGAAGCAAGAAUCAUUUUAUAUCACUUAUGUCGUAGACUUGGGAAUAUGAAUUGUUUAUUUCAAUCAAUUUCCAAUAACACAAAAUUUAUAAAGAACGUCCAGCUAGAUUCAAAGGUUAAUCAAGCGAAAAUCUCAAGGAAGAGUUAAUAGUUUCUGUAAAGAACGACAUUUGCAUCAUAAUGUUGGACAUGAUAUUAUGCAUUACCCGGAGGGGUUAGUUAUUUUAUUGUCGAUCAAGACGA